UUUAAAACUGCUUUUAUUCCAGCCGUAUGAAGACACAUGGAGAGGGUCAAAGAAACCGGGAUCGGGAAUUCAGUUGCGUGCGCCUGCAGAAUAACUGGGGCGCGGUUUCGUUCCCCCGAGAGCGCGGGGCAGCCGCUCCCGCCCUCUGGGAGCCGCGGCGGUGCCGCAGCAGCGUCCGGCAAAAUCAUCCUGUUCACAGAUCGUCCGAACGUUUUAGUGCCCUUUUUUAUUAACAGUAUUAGACAGGUUCAGAGUAGUCAUCUAUGCAAUUGCCUCCAAGAAAAUGAGGCACAGUCAGAAGAGAAAUUACAGAACCACCAUGC